UCUGUGGUGUGGAGAGAAUCAAUGGAGACGUGGUUGAGCAAAGAGUCCAGCCAGGAGCAAACAUCACCCUGCAGUGUAACUCAGAAACAGAGGUGGUAGUUAUAGAGUGGCGUAGGAACUGCACCCAUGUGAAUCAGCCACCUUUCUCCAUAGCAAGCAGAUGGACUCCACCUCGCUUUAGUGAUUCCUGCCAUGAUUCCACAAUUAACUGUGUGACCCAAUCACUGAGCACUUGUCCUAUAAUGGUGAAGUUAACCCCUCCCAAUGGAAAUCCGCAUCAAAGACCCUGCAGUAAUCAACCUGCUCAGUGACAGAAAUGGACAGGUUGAGCGUCAGUUUCAUCGUGUUUUUGUGUGUGAUAUUCUACUGUGUGGAAAGAAUCUCUGGAGAAGAGGUUGAGAGGAGAGUCCAACCAGGAGGCAGUGUCACCUUGCAGUGUAACUCAGAAACAGAUGUGUCACUUAUAGAGUGGCAUAGGAACUGCACCCACUUGAAUCAGCCAACACUCUCCAUAGCAGAUGGGCUCCACCUCGCUUCAGUGUUAAAACAAACGACUCAGCUAAAUCCAGUGUUCUGAGGAUUGAAAACAUCACUGAGGGGGACCUUGAGCUUUACUAUUGUUCUAAUGCAGCAAAGAAAACAAAGGCAAUUGUCAAUGCUUUCAAAGUGGUAUUUGGAGACAUGUCCCAGCCCUAAGCCUCCUAGUUGCCCUGCUGAAUGUGAGCGCUGCUGGAUUCUGCUGGUUAGCAUGUGUCUCGUAUGCUCUCUUGUCACUGCAUUCCUCUCCUCUACUUGUGUGUACUCUCUCCUCUCCAAAAAAGGGUCAAAGAAGAAGGACCUGUAUCAGGGAUCUACGAACAGAGAGCAAAGCAGGAAAACGGAUGAAGACCUUUGUUAUGCGUCCCUGGAUAUAACUAGCAAUCGACAGAAACCAAGACCCAAGAAAAAGAGGCAACAGAACACUGACUUCAGUACCUACUCCGAGGUCAGGACUGGUACAAAGUAGAAUCAUCACCUGUUGUGUCUCAGAAAUGGAGUAUGCACUAAUUCACUUCCACAAUUAACUAAUAUUUGUUGAUUUACAUGUUGGUUUAUUUCACUAUUAGAAUGUAGGGGAAUACUGGUUGUUAGGCCUAAUCAUGUAGGCUACUAACAUGCACAACUUUUAUUAUAUUAUGAUGUUUUGAGAUUAUACACUUUCUAUGUUGUGGAUUUGGAUAUGUACAGUAGUGUGAAAAGGUAUCAUGUGUGUUGCAUUCUGCUGUUUAAGGGUAGUGUUGGAGGUGAGUUAUACCUCUAGCUCAAAAAAGUGACAAUGUUGUUAUUUACAUUUGUGACUUGUUUAUUUUCCGUGUGUAGAAAUAACAAAAUAAAAUGAGACACAGUAAUAUUCUAAGCAGAUACAUUCUCAAAAUACAUUCUCAUGUCCGCCCAGGUAGCUGUGCUUAUCUGCUUAGAAAAUGGCUGUGUCUGGUUUUAUAUUAUUAUUUCUGCACAUGGUAUUGGGCAAUUCCAUGGAAAAUUAAUUUUUUUGUAACAUCCA